rnacentral:misc_RNA from 1 species
UGGCUCUCGCAUCGAUGAAGAACGCAGCGAAAUGCGAUAAGUAAUGUGAAUUGCAGAAUUCAGUGAAUCAUCGAAUCUUUGAACGCACCUUGCGCCUUGUGGUAUUCCGCAAGGCACGCCUGUUUGAGUGUCAUGUUAUCACUCACUCUUGAGAAGUCACAUUCUUUGAGAGUGGAUUUGGGCGCUGCUGGUGAUUACAUCGGCUCGCCUUGAAAUGCAUUAGUGGUGUGAUUGGCCACGGACCUGAGGGUGUGAUACUUGAUGUUACGCCUGUGUGUCCGAGUGUCUGCAUUGCUCAAAACCUGACGUGUUCUGCAUGUCAACUUUUUAAUGAAAGACCUCAAAUCAGGUGGGACUACCCGCUGA